rnacentral:rRNA from 1 species
AUACGGAGGGUGCAAGCGUUAAUCGGAAUUACUGGGCGUAAAGAGUACGUAGGUGGUUUGUUUAGUCAGAUGUGAAAGCCCAGGGCUCAACCUUGGAACUGCAUUUGAUACUGGCAAACUAGAGUAUGGUAGAGGGGGGUAGAAUUCAUAGUGUAGCGGUGAAAUGCGUAGAUAUUAUGAGGAAUACCGGUGGCGAAGGCGGCCCCCUGGCCCAAUACUGACACUGAGGUACGAAAGCGUGGGUAGCGAACAGGAUUAGAUACCCCAGUAGUCC